GACCACCCUCUCACAAUAUCGAAAGGAUGCUCACCCAUCGGCCUAUAGUGGCGACCACAAGGAAGAUUGUAGCCAUUGGUGUCUACCUGGAUUGCCCGAUGCUUGGAACCAGCUUUUAUAUGCAGCUCUCUUCACUUGACAAUAUUUUUAUUAAUAGGAUUAAUAAUCUUUCAAGGCAGUUGAUUUUUUUAGAAGAUCAUUAAUUAUUUCGAUGAUAAGGGUUAAAAAUUUUUCUUUCUUCUUUCCAAUUUUCUUGUGCAAGUGGGCAAUAAGAGACAGGGGGGAGGGGGCUUGAUGCUUCAACUGUAAAUUUUAGAUUUUAUUUUUGGCAAUGAAGUUGUUGCCAUGCAAUGUAUGAAAUACCCUCUGAUGUCUUAAUUAAAAAGCUUAUUGGCUUUAGACUACACUAAAUUUUGGGCUAUUUGCAAGGGCAACAUCCAAGGCUCUGUUUGGAAGGGACGAAAAUGGGUCAAGAGACCCACCAUUUUGUUUAUUUUCUCAUCUACUUUCCUCCCUCUGGCAAACGGAGCCUUUAGAUGGGUUCUUAUUCUCCUAAAGGUCCAGCUCUGUGGAAACAUAGGUCUAUGAUCCAAUAAUAUUGUAUUAUGGAUUA
rnacentral:misc_RNA from 1 species